UACGAAGGGGGCUAGCGUUGUUCGGAAUUACUGGGCGUAAAGGGCGCGCAGGCGGUCGAUCAAGUCAGGCGUGAAAGCCCCGGGCUCAACCUGGGAAUAGCGCUUGAGACUGAUGGACUUGAGUUCGGGAGAGGAGAGCGGAAUUCCCAGUGUAGAGGUGAAAUUCGUAGAUAUUGGGAAGAACACCGGUGGCGAAGGCGGCUCUCUGGACCGAUACUGACGCUC
rnacentral:rRNA from 1 species